rnacentral:snoRNA from 2 species
AUCCUCUCAGGGUUGCACCUGGCGAGUAUCCAGUACUCUACAAGUCUCAACUAUGGGAGAGAGAGUCAAGCAGAGGCAUAUCCAUUCCAUUCCUAGCCUGGGCAGUGGCUAGAGAGUGGAAGGCAAUCUGCUAUAAGU